GAUGAACGCUGGCGGCGUGCCUAAUACAUGCAAGUCGAGCGAAUGGAUUAAGAGCUUGCUCUUAUGAAGUUAGCGGCGGACGGGUGAGUAACACGUGGGUAACCUGCCCAUAAGACUGAGAUAACUCCGAGAAACCGGGGCUAAUACCGGAUAACAUUUUGAACCGCAUGGUUCGAAGUUGAAAGGCGGCUUCGGCUGUCACUUAUGGAUGGACCCGCGUCGCAUUAGCUAGUUGGUGAGGUAACGGCUCACCAAGGCAACGAUGCGUAGCCGACCUGAGAGUGUGAUCGGCCACACUGGGACUGAGACACGGCCCAGACUCCUACGGGAGGCAGCAGUAGGGAAUCUUCCGCAAUGGACGAAAGUCUGACGGAGCAACGCCGCGUGAGUGAUGAAGGCUUUCGGGUCGUAAAACUCUGUUGUUAGGGAAGAACAAGUGCUAGUUGAAUAAGCUGGCACCUUGACGGUACCUAACCAGAAAGCCACGGCUAACUACGUGCCAGCCGCCGCCGUAA
rnacentral:rRNA from 1 species